CUCUUGGCGUUUCAAGUUUCUUUCCCAGGCGUUACGCUUAGCUAAUCAAUUGAAAAAUUAAAUUUCAUUUAUGGAUCGGAAAACAAAUAGUAUAAAUAUGACUCUGGCUAUGUCUCUCCGUUGAAAUCAGUACACCUUCUUGGGUUUCUCUACUUCUUAAUGUUCUCUGCUAGAUUUGUGAUUUAUAACAACGCUCAAUUCUUAAGGAGUGAAAACAUUAUGUUCUCUUCCGUAUUCAAUCUCAACUUAAAUUUAAUUUAUGAAGCGACCAACAACGAGUGAGUAAACCGGGGUUAAGGUUGAUUCGAUGUCAAAUUAAAUUUGAUUUCUGAAAAGGAAAAGGUAUUCCUCACAUGAAACAUUUUUUUCGAAUGAUAAGAUGGAGUCAAGGAUUUCGGGUUGCGCAUUGUCGAAUUUGAUACGGGCUUCGAAAUAACAUGAACCAUGAUUCGAGAUAACAUCUUUGUGUUCUUCCACUACGGAUACACUAAAUCAAGUAAAUACUUAAAAUUCUACUAUUUAUGGAUUUGAAAUUUUGCUCACUUCAAUAUAGGUAAAAUUUUCCAGAUUUUGAAUUUCCGAAGCAAGGGUGUAAAAAUUUUUCCACCUAAUGAUUCUUUUUUUUGUAUGAAUCAUCGAAAAAUGCCCUGUACAUAGUAUGUUGUGAAUGUUGUACAAAUUUGUAACAUAGUGUUGAAUCCUUUAUAUCUUUCCUAAACAGUGAUCAUAAACCCCUAAACUAUGUUGAAUCAGAUGAAGAACCAAUACUGUUUUUCUGAGAAGCAGACUUUGUACAGAUGUACACGUAUCUAGAUGAAUAUUGCAACUAUAUUCCUAAUUAAUGUUGAGGAGAAGUUACAAGAAGUUGAUGAGUAGAAGCAGGGAGGGAGUUGAGGAUCGAUUAAAGGGUCUGCACUAUUAAGAAAGACAGUAUUUAAUUUAACACUAUUUGUGAUUUAGUUCUCCUCCUUUGCAGGAUGCACUAUUAAGAAAGACAGGAUCCGCAAAUAUGCAGUGAGAAAAAGCUUAAGUCCUUCAAUUUCAGAUGAUCAUAUUGAUUUGUUAUCAUGUAUCUUUUAUAUUUGCACGACUGUGCUUAGUAUCCCAUCAAAUAUUUCUAGCCCAAUUGUGAAAAAUGCUUAAUUUUGUGGGGUUAACAACUAUGUUUGGUGGUAUAGUCUUACCAUUUGUUCGGUACCUUCGAAUUCAUGACAGUAAACAUCAAUGCUUAGUGGUUACGACCACUAAUACGUCAAUUCCCUUUUUUUGGGUUACACCACUAUUCAGGUUCCUCUUUUAAGUAUUCUUUUUUCUUUUGUGGGGUGUUCAUAUAUAGUUACCUCGAAAAGGCUCAUAUCUAUGCACAAGAUGUUGCAAGAGGGAGAUCGUAACUCCAACGAUGGUUCAAGUCCACAAAGAUUACUUUAGGCUUAGUGUUUUGGAUAUGCUACUGAACCAAAAUGUCCACAAGACUAGGUCGAAGGCCGAGAUAAAAGGUAUAUAAUGACCAUAGAGCGGUAUGGGAAAAACAAGAUAACAGUGGACCGAAUACAUACUCGGCAACGAGUUCAACUUACGGGUUAAACAUUGCACCAUACCCGCAUGGGAAGGUCAAUUGAAUCCCAAAUGGAAGAUGGGAUUAGGUGGCAGGUGAAUUUUUCAGGAUUUGCAGCUGAAUGAAUAACUAUCCCAGUUUAAGGUACAAUGCAGGUUACUACUAAGAGAGUGUUGGAAUUUAUAGCAAUAUGCAUUGGAUGAAUAACUAUUUCCAAAAUAUGAGUGCAGCAUUGGGGUUUAGGUUUUACCAUACUACACUAAAUACAAAAAAAAAAAUCUGCUUUUUUGUUGCUGGGACAAAUUUUUUUUUCCCUUACUUUUUUCUUUUUUGUUGCUGGAACAGAAUUUUUAUAAAGGAUCGGAGAGGUUUCAACUUUCUGACCACAUGCUGUUGGUUUCAACUUUCUGACCACAUGCUGUUAGUAUAAGCACUAUCUUUUGUCUGACUCUUAACAUUGUAUUUGUUGUUGUCACUUGAUAAAUUAAAUAAUACUG